GACAAAGACUGACGCUCAGGUGCGAAAGCGUGGGGAGCAAACAGGAUUAGAUACCCUGAUAGUCCACGCCGUAAACGAUGUCUACUUGGAGGUUGUGCCCUUGAGGCGUGGCUUCCGGAGCUAACGCGUUAAGUAGACCGCCUGGGGAGUACGGCCGCAAGGUUAAAACUCAAAUGAAUUGACGGGGGCCCGCACAAGCGGUGGAGCAUGUGGUUUAAUUCGAUGCAACGCGAAGAACCUUACCUGGUCUUGACAUCCACAGAACUUUCCAGAGAUGGACUGGUGCCUUCGGGAACUGUGAGACAGGUGCUGCAUGGCUGUCGUCAGCUCGUGUUGUGAAAUGUUGGGUUAAGUCCCGCAACGAGCGCAACCCUUAUCCUUUGUUGCCAGCGGUCCGGCCGGGAACUCAAAGGAGACUGCCAGUGAUAAACUGGAGGAAGGUGGGGAUGACGUCAAGUCAUCAUGGCCCUUACGACCAGGGCUACACACGUGCUACAAUGGCGCAUACAAAGAGAAGCGACCUCGCGAGAGCAAGCGGACCUCAUAAAGUGCGUCGUAGUCCGGAUUGGAGUCUGCAACUCGACUCCAUGAAGUCGGAAUCGCUAGUAAUCGUGGAUCAGAAUGCCACGGUGAAUACGUUCCCGGGCCUUGUACACACCGCCCGUCACACCAUGGGAGUGGGUUGCAAAAGAAGUAGGUAGCUUAACCUUCGGGAGGGCGCUUACCACUUUGUGAUUCAUGACUGGGGUGAAGUCGUAACAAGGUAACCGUAGGGGAACCUGCGGUUGGAUCACCUCCUUACCUUAAAGAAGC
rnacentral:rRNA from 1 species